CUUAUUCAGCGAUACUCUUUAAUUUUAGUUUGUUCGUUUUGCUUCUCGUUUUGAUUUCGUAUAUUGUCUCGAUACCUUGAUCUUAGUGAAGUUCAUAUGACAAUUUAUCUUGAGUCUUUAGAAUAUCAUAACUUGUACUCUUUGAACUCGUUUAUCAUAUUUAUUUCAAUUUUCGUAGUGAUGUACAUGUUAGUAUAUUAUAGAGACUUGUGUUGAUGUUUCGUUUGAUUUAACAUAUACACGUUAGAACCCCUUUGUGUUGAUAUUUUGUCGCAUGUGUUGUGACAUUAUAUUUUGUUAGAAUACAGUAGGGUAUACCUGAGCUAUAACCACCUGUGGGGGUACCACAGGCAUGUCCUCUUGGCACCGAGGCAUGACACCUUCCGUGGCGGUGUGAUCAGUCCACGGCGUCUCCGUUUUGUGCUCCGGUGGGAGUUGGCCAUUUGGUGUUUUGUUGUGGGAGGCGUAUGGGUCGACCCUAGUUUUCUGUUCUGUUCUGUUCUGCGGAUUGGUGAUGUUUGUGCCAAACACACCUUCCGAUUUUGCAUGCAUCUGGAUUGCGCAGUCCGAUGUGUGAUUGCCUGUGUGGCAUUAUUUUGAUUGCCUGUGUGGCAUUAUUUGACUUGCCUGUGUGGCAAGGUAUAUUACUAUUUAUUUUGAGCUCGGUAUGAAAUAACACCCAGCCAUUUGAUUCAGCCUAUCAUUUCGUUGUGUUAGUUUUGUUCGUUUCGUUUCAGUUCGUUUCGUUUCAUUUCAUUUAAUUGAGUUAGUUAUUUCGGUUCAUUAUUUGUAUUCUAUAUCCGUACUGGGCAUUUGGCUCAUGCUGUGUUUUUCUUCCGGCAGGUAAUCAGGGGGAUCAAGGGCAAGUGUGAUGAGAGCUCCAUUCAUUCCAAUGAUUUAGAAAUAUUCUGUUUAGACUUGAUGUGUCAGUUUACUUGGAAUUGUAAUAAUUAUUUUAGAUUGUGGUUUGAGACAGUUUGAGAUUUAUUAUGGUUGACUUGUGGUAUUUAUCAGUUAUUAAGACUAAUCUUUUGUGGCUUUGAGUCUUGCUAUUAAAUUCAUCAGUGUUGUUAUGUUUUGAGUAACCUCUCUUUCUAUUUUGGAAAGGGGGUGUUACAGAGUUGGUAUCAGAGCCAGGUUCUUUCUUGUAGAAAACCUAUUUAGGUUUGACCUGUGAGUUAUGGGUAGACUUCUGGGUUAGGUUUUUGGUUCUGUUUGAUUUUCUGUUCAGCUAUCAUAUCAGCUAUAUUCGAAUUUGUCUCUAAUCUGCUUUGUUUAUAUUCGUGAUCUCUUUCUUAGAUGGCUCAAAGAUCAACUAGAGUUGCUGGGAGGCGAGGUAACAAUAGGGGAAGAGGUGAAGGUCGGUCCAAUGAGCAGCCUAAUGAUCAGAUUAAUGCUCAAUUGGCUACCUUAGUGAAUCAGGCAGUGAACCAGGCUUUACCUCAGUUGGUGGCACAGGUUGUACAAGCAAUGCAGCAGCCACCACCAGAAAUUCCUGAGCAGGAGAACCCGGGAAAUAAUGGUCCACAGACAAACGUUGAGGAAGGGAAUGCAGAUGGUCAUGGUCAGCAGGGGGUUCCAAUGUACGUGUGGUUGGAAAGGUUUCAGAAGCAGAAACCACAGUCCUUCAGUUCAGCUCCAACUCCAAUUGAUGCAGAGAAUUGGAUUGCUCACCUAGAGAAGAUUUUUGAUGUAUUGGGGUGCUCGGAUAAUCAGAGAGUAUUGCUUGCAGUUUACAAGCUAGAAGGGGAUGCACAGAGGUGGUGGAAAGCGUUGAAAACGACAAAGGGUGAUGGCUAUGUUGAGACACUUAGUUGGGCGGAGUUUUGUGAGGUCUUCUAUCAACAGUACUUCCCAGCUGCUGAUAAAGAGGCCUAUGCUAGAGACUAUUUGUCUAUUCGGCAAAAAGAUAACGAGUCCAUCACAGAUUUUAUGACGCGGUUCACCAGGUUGGCAGGCUUUGCGGGAGCCUCAGCAGGGACCGCAGCAGAACAGGCAGAGAAAUUUAAGUGGAGAAUUCAUUAUAGGUAUCGACAACAUCUCAUUAAUACCAAGUUUGCAGAUGUGUCAGUAGUGGCUAAUGCAGCCAAAAAUAUUGAGAUGGAGCGACAGGAUUUUCGGUCUUCUAAACCGGAGGGGAGUCGAAAGAGGGACAGAGAUGACCAGCAGGGUCAAGCUUCAGUUCAGCAUGGGAGAAGUCAAGGUGGCCAGUUGAACAGGAAUCGUGGUGGCCAGCAGGGGCAGUGGCGUGGCCAGAAUCAGAACAGGGGCUAUCAGCAGAUGCCUCAGCAGGGGCAAAAUCGUCAGCUUCAGCUACCAUGGUAUGGACAGAAUCGUCAGCAGGGGAAUAAUCAUCCGCAGGGGCAAAAUCAGGGUCGUUAUCCAGGACCAGCUGGUGGGGGUAACCCGAAUCUAAUUCCGAUAGCUCCUUGUGCUACUUGUGGGGCAAAUCAUCCAGGGAGGCAGUGCCACAGACUCACUGGUGCAUGCUUCUUGUGUGGACAGAUGGGUCAUAUUGCUAGGGAUUGUGCCGGGCCACGUGGUAAUGGUGGAGGUGGUGAUAAUGGUAGCAAUGGAGAUCAACGUCAGGGUGGUCGAGUGUUUGCUUUGAUGUAUAACCAGGCGGCAGGUGCACCAGGUACUGUUUCUGGUACUCUUUUAGUUGGCAAUCGCGAGGCUUCUAUUUUAUUUGAUACGGGUUCUACUCAUUUCGUUGUUGCUCAGUCUUUUGUCCGGCACCUGAGUGUGCCAUCUCAGUCUUUGGAUUCUGUUAUGUCUAUUGCUACCCCGAUGGGGACUUCUGUUGUUAUUUCUGAUUUGUAUCGAGGGUGUCCGAUCAGUUUUGGGGAUAAGAUUCGUAGGGCUAAUCUUCUUCCGAUGAAUAUGCACGAUUUUGAUAUUAUUCUUGGGAUGGACUGGUUGGAUAAGCACCAGGCCACUAUCGAUUGUCAGGCGAAGAAGGUUAUAUUUGGAGAUGUGAAGUCUCCAGAGUUCGUGUUUCAGGGUUCACAGCCGAGUAGGGUGUUGAAGUUGAUUUCAGAUUUGAAGGCUGGGAAGUUGGUAGCAAAGGGUUGUGAGGGGUAUUUGGCGUUUGUGAAGGAUACCUCUAAGGGUGAGUCCCGUAUUGAAGAUGUUCCAAUUGUUCGUGACUAUUCUGAUGUGUUUCCUGAGGUGUUGUCAGGGUUUCCACCGCAGCGGGGAGUGGAGUUUGCUAUUGAGUUUGUUCCUGGUGCAGAGCCUAUCUCUAAGGCGCCGUAUCGGAUGGCACCGUUGGAGUUGCAGGAGUUGAAGGAGCAGUUGCAGGAACUGUUAGAUCGUGGUGUAAUUCGCCCGAGUGUUUCACCGUGGGGUGCUCCAGUCUUGUUUGUGAAGAAGAAGGAUGGGUCUAUGAGGCUGUGUAUAGACUACAGAGAGUUGAACAAGAUCACCAUCAGGAAUUGGUAUCCAUUGUCGAGGAUUGAUGACUUGUUUGACCAACUUCAGGGGGCGAAGUAUUUUUCAAAGAUAGACUUGAGGUCGGGCUAUCAUCAGUUGAGGGUAAGGGAUGAGGAUAUCCCUAAGACGGCUUUUCGUACUCGAUAUGGGCAUUAUGAGUUUCUGGUGAUGCCAUUCGGUGUGACUAACGCUCCGGCGGUGUUUAUGGAUUUGAUGAAUCGGGUGUUCAGGGAGUACCUGGACCAAUUUGUCAUUGUCUUUAUUGAUGACAUUUUGGUUUACUCCAAGUCUAAAGAAGAGCAUGAGGAGCAUCUUCGCACAGUGUUGGGGAUUUUGCAGAAAGAGAAGUUGUAUGCUAAAUUCUCUAAAUGCGAGUUUUGGUUGGAGCAGGUUGCAUUUUUGGGACAUGUUGUUUCUGCUGAAGGCAUUAAGGUGGAUCCUGCGAAGGUUGAGGCUAUCACCAAAUGGCCAAGACCUACUACAGUGACGGAGAUUAGGAGUUUCUUGGGUUUGGCAGGGUAUUAUAGGCGGUUUGUGGAAGGGUUUUCCUUGCUUGCCUUACCAUUGACUCAGUUGAUGAGAAAGGGCAUGAAGUUUAUGUGGAAUGAGGAGCGGGAGAAGAGUUUCGAGGAGUUGAAGAAACGACUUGUGUCAGCUCCUAUACUUGCAUUGCCGUCGGGGACAGGAGGCUAUCAGAUUUAUAGUGAUGCUUCUAAGAAGGGCUUGGGGUGUGUUUUGAUGCAACACGGUAAGGUGAUUGCUUAUGCUUCUAGGCAGCUUAAACCUUACGAGGUGAAUUACCCCACACAUGAUUUGGAGUUGGCAGCCGUGAUCUUUGCCCUAAAGAUUUGGAGGCAUUAUUUGUAUGGAGAGACUUGUGAUAUCUUCACCGAUCACAAAAGUCUUAAAUAUAUUUUCACUCAGAAGGAGCUCAAUGUGAGGCAAAGGCGUUGGUUGGAGCUUCUAAAAGAUUAUGACGCGAGGAUUCAGUAUCACCCAGGGAAGGCAAAUGUGGUUGCAGAUGCUCUUAGACGAAAGAGUUCAGGGAGUGUAGCAGCCCUUAUUACACAACCUCAGCUUAUUUCAGAUAUGGAGCGGCUCGAGAUGGAAUUGUAUGUACGAGGUUCAGAUGGGCAUUUGGCGGGUAUGAGAGUGGAGCCCUCUCUUAUCUCGCGGGUCAAAGAAGCUCAAAAAGAAUAUGGGGAGUUGUGGAGUAUGACGCAAAAUCUAGAGGAGGGCAAGCAGCCCGAGUUUCGUGUUGAUGACCAUGGUGUGAUUUGGUUGGGUGAGCGGUUAUGUGUACCUUCAGAUCCAAUCAUUCGGGAGGCGGUGCUGGCUGAGGCUCAUAGUUUGCCAUUUUCUAUUCAUCUAGGUUCUACGAAGAUGUAUAGAGAUUUGAAGAAGAUUUUUUGGUGGAAUGGGAUGAAAUGAGACAUGGCUGAAUAUGUUGGGAAGUGACUCACUUGUCAACAAGUGAAGAUAGAACAUCAACGAGCUAGUGGUUUGCUGCAACAGUUAGACAUUCCAGUGUAGAAGUGGGAGGAUAUCACGAUGGAUUUUGUGAUUGGUUUGCCGAAGACUUUCAGGAAGAAUGAUGCCAUAUGGGUAGUGGUGGACUGAUUGACCAAAUCGGCACACUUUUUGGCUAUCCGUGAGGGUUACUCGGUGGAUAGGUUGGCACAAAUCUUUCAGCAGGAGAUUGUUAGACUUCAUGGUACUCCGAUGUCCAUUGUUUCAGAUCGGGACCCACGGUUCACUUCACGGUUUUGGAAAGGGUUUCAACGAGCUUGGGGCACUCGGCUCAACUUCAGUACUUCUUUCCAUCCACAAACUAAUGGGCAAUCCGAGCGGACUAUUCAGACAUUAGAGGACAUGUUGAGAUCUUGUGCACUUGAAUGGUCGGGUAAUUGGGAUGAUUACUUGAGCCUAGUUGAGUUUGCUUACAACAACAGCUGGCAUGCAAGUAUUGGAAUGGCCCCAUUUGAGGCAUUGUAUGGUAGGAAGUGUCGGGCACCGACUUGUUGGGAUGAGGUUGGCGAAAGGGCCAUAGAAGGGCCUGAGUUAGUUCAAAUCACUACGGAGAAGGUAGCGGUGGCUAAGGAGAAAUUGAAGUCGGCUCGAUCACGACAGAAGUGUUAUGCUGAUAAGCAUAGGAGGACUUUAGAGUUUGAACCUGGUGAGCAUGUGUUUCUAAAAGUUUCUCCUUGGAAGGUUAUUCGGCGAUUUGGGUUGAAAGGGAAACUUAGUCCGCGUUAUAUUGGUCCAUUUGAGAUUCUGGAGAGGGUUGGUGAGGUUGCAUACAGGUUAGCUUUGCCUCCACAGUUAGCUCAUGUGCACAAUGUGUUCCAUGUGUCGAUUUUGAGAAGUUAUCAUUAUCAUCCUUUGCACGUGGUGCAAUAUCCGUUCGAUAAGAUUCGAGAGGAUCUUACUUGUGAGGAGCAAGCCGAGGCGAUUUUGGAUCGUCAAGAGCGAAUUAUGAGGAGGAAGACUAUUCCGUUUGUUAAGGUUUUGUGGAGAAAUCAUUCAGAGCGGGAAGCCACAUGGGAGAUGGAGGAGUCUAUUCAAGCGGAGUAUCCGCAUCUCUUUGAAAAUUAGGUACGUUCCAUUCUUUUGAUUCCGGGAACGGAAUCCUUUUUAAGAGGUAGGUGAUGUAAUACCCGAAAAUAAUAAUAAUAAUAAUAAUAAUAAUAAUAAUAAUUAUAAUAAUAAUAAUAAUAAUAAUAAUAAUAAUAAUAAUAAUAAUAAUAAAAUUACUUUGUUUAAACCAUAUUAAUUGGACUGUUAUUUAUUUUGGGUCAAAUAGUCAUUUAAUUUAUAUGGGCUAGUAAAUAUUAAUAAAUGAUGGAUAAAUUAAAAUUUUAAAAUUUGGGCCUUAAAAACUAAUUUAGUUCAAUUUAUAUGUGGGUAAUAAUAAAUCCUAUUAAAAAUAGGAAAGUAAAUAAGAUAUAUUAAUAAAUAAAUAAAUACUAAACCUAAUCAUAUGAGCAAGCCUGAUACGAAUUGAAAAAGAAAAAGAGAGAGAGAGAAGCUAACGGCUGCGCAGCAAAAAGAAGGAAGAGAAUCUCAGAAUUUUUUUUCUUUUGAUCACGUAUGUUAGUAAAUUAAUAAAACAAUUGUAGUAGCUUUGCAUUAUGUUGAAUACACUGAACUGAUUUAGUUCUUCAAUUGAUUCAAGGUAAAACUUAGUCAUUUGAUAGGAAUCACAUGUUCGGUAUUUUAUUUUUAUUUUUAAAAAAAAAAAAAAAUAUUAUCAUAUAAGUGUAUGAAUUGGAAUUAGAGUUGCUUUUAAUUAAUCAAUAUGCAUAUCAUAUAUCAUAAGCAACAAAUUUGGGCUAUUUAUCACUCUGCUAGUUCUAGGAUUAGGAACAUUGGUGUAUAUAUAUAUAUAUAUAUAUAUAUAUAUAUAUAUAUAUAUAUAUAUAAUAAUAAUAAUUUNNNNNNNNNNNNNNNNNNNNNNNNNNNNNNNNNNNNNNNNNNNNNNNNNNNNNNNNNNNNNNNNNNNNNNNNNNNNNNNNNNNNNNNNNNNNNNNNNNNNNNNNNNNNNNNNNNNNNNNNNNNNNNNNNNNNNNNNNNNNNNNNNNNNNNNNNNNNNNNNNNUGUCGCAUGUGUUGUGACAUUAUAUUUUGUUAGAAUACCGUAGGGUAUACCUGAGCUAUAACCACCUGUGGGGGUACCACAGGCAUGUCCUCUUGGCACCGAGGCAUGACACCUUCCGUGGCGGUGUGAUCAGUCCACGACGUCUCCGUUUUGUGCUCCGGUGGGAGUUGGCCAUUUGGUGUUUUGUUGUGG
rnacentral:lncRNA from 1 species